rnacentral:lncRNA from 1 species
AUGAAUUUCCAUGCUGGGUUCUCCAGAUGUUAUGAACUUCGUUCUUAUCAAAUAUUUUCAAUUGUUUAUAUCAUUCAUGAUUCCCCUUUAUGCAAUGUAACUCACUUUUAUGGAUUCUCCCUUAUUUCCAUGAAAUCUAUCUAUCUGCCUAUAUGUAUUUGUACUCUUUGGGAUCCCCGGAAAAUAUGUAUUUUUCCCAGCAUGGAAAUUCAUAAAAGUGGAGUUUUAGCAGCAUGAUUUUACAAUUCAUGAAGUUGUUAUCUCUUGCCUCAGAGUGCAGGGAUAAUCCACAGUAAACUCCAGUAAAAAGUCUCAAUCACCUUCUACUAUAAAUAUAUGGAAUAUAGAACAUAAAGUCUUGAUUUUUGAACUAUCUUUUACAAAGUCCUGGGGGGGGUGGUGGUCACCUCGAUCACAUCACCUCAAACAGCAGGUACUGGGAGGUGUUGGAAGAGACAAUUGGGAGCUAGGAUGACUGCCUUGUUCCCCUAAAAUGAGCCGCCUGAGUGCGUGAGAAGAUGUUGCUCCAUCUCUACCGGUUAAGAAUGACUCAAGGACCAAACCAUGUGGCUUUGGUGUGUGGAAUGAGGGUGACACGGACACUAUUUGUCUCUCCUCAGGCAGCAAAGUGUUUUGUACUGAAGUAAAUCUAGGCUUACUUGACAUAAUGUGUGAAAUGUCUUGUUCAUGAUUUCUGAUUCUGAAGAUACAAUUUAUGCAUAGUCCAUGGUUCUUCUUGUUACUUCCUGCUCAUCCCUACCAUGGCAGAAAGGAAUUGGAAACAAUAUUAGAAUUAUAGAAUAGAAUAAUAAAAUCCUAGAGUUGGAAGAGAUCCCAAGGGCCAUUUAGUCCAACCGGCUUCUGUUAUGCAGGAACACAGAAUCAAAGCACUCCUGACAGAUGGCCAUCCAGCUUCUGCUUAAAAAUCUUCAGAGGAGACUCCACCACACUUCGAGGCAGGAGCCUACUCUACUCCCAGACAGCUCUUAAAGUCAGGAAGCUCUUCCGAAUGUUUAGGUGAAAUCCCUUUUCCUGCAGUUUGAAUCCAUUGCUCCUAGUUUCCAGAGCACCAUAAACAAGCUUGCCCCCUCCUCAAUAUGACAUCCUUUCAAAUAUCUAAACAUAUUUAUCAUGUCCCCUCCCAGCCUUCUUUUCUCCAGGAUAAACAAAUCCUAAACAUACCGUCUUCUUCAAGCCCACCCCAGUAUUCUGUGGUUGUGGAUAUCAUUACAAGCUAUAAACAAAGCCAUUAUGGCCAUACAGUUAUGAAUAUCUGGGAUGUGCACUCAGUGGAUGGCCUAUGACUGAACUCCCCUGUAUGGUUCUGACCCUUCCUGGCAGAGGACCCUUUGCUUCAUAGGUCAGAGGAAAUGCUCACACGUUUCAACCCUUUAUUUCAAGUUUACAGUGACAUCACUAGAGUUUGUGUCACCCCCAUGGAUCAUACCACAACACUACAGUUAAAAUUCCAGAAUAUCUGACAAUAUCAAUGAUUAUUUUAAAAACAGAGCAACCAAAACAAUAGCACGUUCUGGUAGCACAUGAAGAGGAAAGCAUGUUAUUCAUGUUUGUGUGUCGUUGUAAGUGGGUAGUAAUGACAACUUUGACUGGAGUGCAUGCACACCAUCAUUAUUAUAUUUACUUGUACCCUGCUUUAUUUUGGAACCUUAGUGGCAUUUGAAGGUUCAAAAAGUAAAUUAGCCUAAAGCAGGUGUCAAAGACAGAACGCCACAAGAUUCAAAGUAACAGAGUUUAUUAGAUUACAGAACUCAAAAAUGCCCGUAAA